GCAUGUAUGUGUGUGUGUGUGUGUGUGUGUAUAUAUAUAUAUAUUUAUAUAUAUAUAUAUAUAUAUAUAUAUAUAUAUAUAUAUAUACAUACAUACACACGCGUGCACACACACUCACACAGUG